rnacentral:rRNA from 1 species
UACGGAGGGUGCAAGCGUUAUCCGGAUUCACUGGGUUUAAAGGGUGCGUAGGCGGCUUUAUAAGUCAUUGGUGAAAGCUCGCAGCUUAACUGCGAAACUGCCAUUGAAACUGUUUAGCUUGAAUGUGGUUGAAGUGGGCGGAAUACAACAUGUAGCGGUGAAAUGCUUAGAUAUGUUUUAGAACACCGACUGCGAAGGCAGCUCACUAAGCCAAUAUUGACGCUGAGGCACGAAAGCGUGGGUAGCAAACAGG